rnacentral:lncRNA from 1 species
GAUGUAGACCAAGUAGUAACUAUUAAUCAAUGUAUUCUGGCAUUUAAAAUAUUAUUUGCAUUUUUCUUCAUUUAUCCCCUCAGAGUGACGGGAUGGAUUCGAGGUGACCAACGGCCUUCCUGGAAUCAGAGGCCCAAUGGGACCACAGGUAGAUCCAUCACUUCCUUCUUUUCUUAAAGCUCCUGCUUAUUUUCUUUUCUGCUUUCCCAGGGUCCACCGGGAAUCGCAGGAACUACCAGUAAGAACCCAAAGACACGCUUUUGUCCCAGGUUGUUGUUUUUUAGGGAGUGGGAACAUCCUUGUGUUUCUGUGUCGCAGGGAAAACCAGGUUACCUGGAAUCAAUGGAAACAAAGGAGCAGAGGGACCACGUGGACCUCCUGGGAUUCCUGGUCUGGAUGGUUUUCCAGGACAGUCUGGUAGGGGGAGUUGCAAGUUAUUUGCUUUGUCCUUCGAAUACCAUCACUGAUAUUUGUGCGUAACGUCAGUUUUUUUUUGCUCAGGGUGAUAAAGGAGACGAGGACAGAAGGGAGAGAACAGGUCAGGACACCAAAAUAAGAGCACAAAACCCAAAGUUUGGCUGUAUGAUAAACAACAUUGUGCAUUUACUCUAUUUAAGACUGGAUUUUGUUUGUAAAACAGGGUACUCCAGGCCGGACGGCGGUGCACCUGGACCUCCAGGCCCUCCCGGACCUCCGGGGCAGAUCCUCUACCAGACCGAAUGGAGAGUAUAACGACAUUUAUUGGACUGAGGGGUGGCAGGGUGGACCAGGAGUUCCAGGUCAAGCAGGUUUCCCAGGACCAGUGGGUCCAAAGGGAGACAAAGGGAGACUCUGGUCUACCAGGAUAUGCUCCAAAGGGACAAAAAGGUGAGCCAGGCCUGAUCAUAGGUGCUGAUGGAAGACCUUUGUACAUUGGUGGCUUGGCAGGACAGCCGGGUGAGCCUGGAAGCCCUGGACCUGAAGGCCCUCCAGUACGUAUUAGUUUGAAUCUCAUCACACUCCCAGCUGUGACAUUUGUUUCUAAUUUUAGUGAC